AAAAGAUAUUACCAGUUGUCCGAAAACAACAUUUAUUGCUUUGCACGUUGCUUAUAUGCAAUGCUGCUGCCAUGGAGACACUUCCCAUAUUUCUGGAUAGUCUGGUUAUUGCUUGGGGUGCCAUCCUGAUUUCAGUUACAUUGAUACUUCUGUUUGGAGAGGCUGGAAAAGGUGGAGAACUCACACAUGAUGAGACAACAAUUAUUGCUGGAGCCCUUGGGCUUACUGAGAAAACAACCAGUGAUGCCAUGACUCCCAUAUAUGACACU